AAACCAACAGGGAUUGCCCUAGUAACGGCGAGUGAAGCGGCAACAGCUCAAAUUUGAAAUCUGGCCCUCGGGUCCGAGUUGUAAUUUGUAGAGGAUGCUUUUGGCGCGGUGCCUUCCGAGUUCCCUGGAACGGGACGCCUUAGAGGGUGAGAGCCCCGUAUGGUUGGACACCAAGCCUCUGUAUAGCUCCUUCGACGAGUCGAGUAGUUUGGGAAUGCUGCUCUAAAUGGGAGGUAAAUUUCUUCUAAAGCUAAAUAUUGGCCAGAGACCGAUAGCGCACAAGUAGAGUGAUCGAAAGAUGAAAAGCACUUUGAAAAGAGGGUUAAAUAGCACGUGAAAUUGUUGAAAGGGAAGCGUUUGCGACCAGACCUUUUCCUAGCGGAUCAACUCUGGGUUAAUCUGCGAGUGCACUUCGCUAGGUUUAGGCCAGCAUCGGUUUCCGUAGGGGGAUAAAAGCUCUGGGAAUGUGGCUCCUCCGGGAGUGUUAUAGCCCUCUGCAUAAUACCUUUACGGGGACCGAGGACCGCGCUUCGGCAAGGAUGCUGGCGUAAUGGUCGUCAACGAC
rnacentral:rRNA from 1 species